GAUGAACGCUGGCGGCGUGCUUAACACAUGCAAGUCGAACGGAAAGGCCCAAGCUUGCUUGGGUACUCGAGUGGCGAACGGGUGAGUAACACGUGGGUGAUCUGCCCUGCACUUCGGGAUAAGCCUGGGAAACUGGGUCUAAUACCGGAUAGGACCACUUCUUGGAUGUUGUGGUGGAAAGUUUUUUCGGUGUGGGAUGAGCUCGCGGCCUAUCAGCUUGUUGGUGGGGUAAUGGCCUACCAAGGCGUCGACGGGUAGCCGGCCUGAGAGGGUGUACGGCCACAUUGGGACUGAGAUACGGCCCAGACUCCUACGGGAGGCAGCAGUGGGGAAUAUUGCACAAUGGGCGCAAGCCUGAUGCAGCGACGCCGCGGGGGGGAUGACGGGCUUCGGGUUGUAAACUCCUUUCGCUAGGGACGAAGCGUUUUGUGACGGUACCUGGAGAAGAAGCACCGGCUAACUACGUG
rnacentral:rRNA from 1 species